rnacentral:lncRNA from 1 species
CAGUAAAAUAGUUUUAAAGCAAUCUAAGCCUUCUGAACUUAUUCUAAUUAAGUAUCUUCACCACAAAUGAUCUUUUCUUCAUACCUUAGGUGCCGAACUUUACAAAUGAAUCUUUGUUCUUCAAUUUGAAUAUUUUCUUCAAAAACUUCCGCGAUCAACUCUUCAAGACUCCAUUCAACAUUACGAAAUUCGCCAACCUAUAAAAUCCUUAACAAUCUCCCCCUUUGGCAAUUUCGUGACAAAAUAUAUUACAAUGCUCGUACACAACUCAGAAACAAUAAAAAGAAGAUCAUCGCAAUCACCAAACGAUAAUCUCCUGCUUGAUCGAUCCAACAAACGAAAAUUACAAUUUUCACACCUUAAUACAGACUCUAUGACUUAGACAUG